UGGGGAAUAUUGGACAAUGGGCGCAAGCCUGAUCCAGCCAUGCCGCGUGUGUGAAGAAGGCCUUCGGGUUGUAAAGCACUUUCAGUAGGGAGGAAGCGUUGUGUGUUAAUAGUACACAGCGUUGACGUUACCUACAGAAGAAGCACCGGCUAACUCUGUGCCAGCAGCCGCGGUAAUACAGAGGGUGCAAGCGUUGUCCGGAUUUAUUGGGUUUAAAGGGUGCGUAGGCGGCUGCUUAAGUCAGUGGUAAAAGGCACGGGCUCAACCCGAUGUAAGCCAUUGAUACUGGGCAGCUUGAGUUCUCUGAGAGUACAUGGAAUUGAUGGUGUAGCGGUGAAAUGCGUAGAGAUCUGGAGGAAUACCGGUGGCGAAGGCGGCCCCCUGGACAAAGACUGACGCU
rnacentral:rRNA from 1 species